UAUUACAAUUCCUAUAUAUAGAGGAGAAGAUGGUAGUGGAGUGUGUGAUAGUGGAGGUGGUAGGUGUGGAGAAAGAUAGUGGAGGUAGUAGGUGAGUGGUAAAUUCUAACAGCCCCCCGCAAACUCAAGGAGGAUAGAAACUAACCAACUUGAGUUUGGAGAGAGGAGCAAAACAAGAAAAUACAUAAAAAUAAAAAAA